rnacentral:rRNA from 1 species
GUCUUGGCGUUGGCCUAGCUUAGCUAGCUAUGAACUGGACAUCCGGUGCUAUAGACUAGAUAUAUUCUCGGGGUUGAGGAGGAACGAGCUCAAAACGGUUUUAGCGGCGGAGGGCACGGGCAAAGCGGAGCAAGUCUAGAACAACCUCGGCGGCGGUCAGUUCAAGUAGCGGUGGCGCCCGAGGAUCGUGGAGGACGUGGAGGAUCAAGUAGAUAGGCCAAGGGAGAUGGAGGUACUGGGAUAGAAACCGUGUCCCCUCGUCACAUCUCUGCACGUGCUGGAGUUGUCUUCCAACGGCGGUAGUUAGCAGCGAGGUCGGCCAGGAGCGGCCGCCAUGUCUUCGGGACCAGCAGGACCUCCUGCAAAACCUCAAGAGGCAGAUGGAGGAGUAGAACAGGGCAGCAGGGGCUAGGGGCCUCGAUUGGGGUCGCUGCGGUGCCAGUUCUGGGCUCGGUGGGGCGCGGCAAGAAGGAGUUGAGGCCGCUACGGGACAGGAACAAGGAGACUAACAGGCCUCACACUUCGCUUAGUCUUAAUUCGUAAUCUCAUGAAGUUGUGGCAAGUUCCUAUAAGUCCACUAGUCACUCUAUGUUAUCCCAGCACUCAGAAGUGAGUUGUACAAGAGGUCACCCGUAAUUACCUGAGUAGCAAAUAAUACGAUGGAAAGGCGAUAAUAAUAACUUAUUUCAAUCGAUACACGAUGAGUCAAACAUUAUGAAAUACUUAAAACCUAGUAUGCAAUAUCAUUUACUACGUGAACAGUAAACUAUAGGUAUACAUGACACACACGAUCGCUCAGCUAGGUCCCUGAUCGUGUCACUCGUGUCUCUGUAGCUUAGAAUAGUCCAAUCCCAGCAAUGUUUGUAGAAGUGGUCGUGGUAGAGUAGAGUUUGGGAUCAAGUAGAAGUGGACACCCAACGAUCUUCACACUUAAUGUAGGACAUCAACUA